GAUGAACGCUGGCGGCGUGCCUAAUACAUGCAAGUCGAGCGAACGGACGAGAAGCUUGCUUCUCUGAUGUUAGCGGCGGACGGGUGAGUAACACGUGGAUAACCUACCUAUAAGACUGGGAUAACUUCGGGAAACCGUAGCUAAUACCGGAUAAUAUUUUGAACCGCAUGGUUCAAAAGUGAAAGACGGUCUUGCUGUCACUUAUAGAUGGAUCCGCGCUGCAUUAGCUAGUUGGUAAGGUAACGGCUUACCAAGGCAACGAUGCAUAGCCGACCUGAGAGGGUGAUCGGCCACACGGGAACUGAGACACGGUCCAGACUCCGACGGGAGGCAGCAGUAGGGAAUCUUCCGCAAUGGGCGAGAGCCUGACGGAGCAACGCCGCGUGAGUGAUGAAGGUCUUCGGAUCGUAAAACUCUGUUAGUAGGGAAGAACAUAUGUGUAAGUAACUGUGCACAUCUUGACGGUACCUAAUCAGAAAGCCACGGCUAACUACGUG
rnacentral:rRNA from 1 species